rnacentral:rRNA from 1 species
GACGAACCGUGCGAACGUUAUUCGGAAUCAUUGGGCUUAAAGGGCGCGUAGGCGGGCGACCGCGUCGAGUGCUGAAAGCCCCCGGCUUAACCGGGGAACGGGCCUCGAAACGGGUCGCCUCGAGGCGAGGAGGGGGACCUGGAACUUCCGGUGGAGCGGUGAAAUGCGUUGAGAUCGGAAGGAACGCCGAGGGCGAAAGCAAGGUCCUGGACUCGGCCUGACGCUGAGGCGCGAAGGCCAGGGGAGCGAACGGG